rnacentral:lncRNA from 1 species
CUGGUUUCAAGGAGCUCACCAGCUGGCUUGGAAGAAAAGGCACGAUAAGUACAAGAUCAUUAAAGAUACUAGACAGUGUAUAGUCAUGUGUGGCUCAAACCUUCAGGGUUCAGGAGAAUGAGUACAUCCUAUAAGCUGGGAGUCUGGGAAGCCACUCAGGACAGUAGGGCUGGUCUGGACCGUGUUUGAUGGGGCACUUCUUCAUGUCCUCUCCUUUUUGCACAUUUUCCAUGUCUUGUGUGUAGUCCUUGUCUCCACAGUACUUUCUGCUCCUGUUACAGAGAAGAGAUUUACCCGUGUUACUGCCAUCUAAUUUCAAGUCUCCAUGUGAUGGACAAGCUCUCAUCCCUGCUCUGCCUGGAAUGCCAUCUCUUAUCAACUAGCCUUGUCAAAAGUCAGGGUUCCAGGACUGGGCAAAGUAGAAGUGAAUUCUACGCAAGGAGCCAGUGGGUCUGAUUGUGACAGCACACUUUGGAGUCCUCAAAUGAGUUUUUCUUAAUAACAGUUUGGGAAACAUGAUCUUAUUAAUGCUUCUGUAUAAUUCUCCUCUCUCUCUCUGUGGUUGUAGCCAGUUAUUUUAUGUCAAAUAGAAUAAGCAGAGCUAUUCAUGUAAAAGUUUAAUGAAAGAAAAUCCGAGUUGAAUCUGUGUAUGUGAGGAAGGGAGUAUAAAGACAUAUGAAUUUUCAAGAAGUGAACUCUUCUCCAUAAGUGAUUUUUUCCCAUAUAUUUGUGAUCAUUUCUCAGAGAGAAACUUUUUUUUUUUUAAGAUUUUUUUUUUUCCUUUUUCUCCUCACCCCCCCCCCCCCCCCAGUACAUAGUUGUGUAUUCUUCGUUGUGGGUCCUUCUAGUUGUGGCAUGUGGGACGCCGCCUCAGCGUGGUUUGAUGAGCAAUGCCAUGUCUGCGCCCAGGAUUCGAACUGACGAAACACUGGGCUGCCUACAGCAGAGCGCGCAAAGUUAACCACUCGGCCACGGGGCCAGCCCCAGAGAGAAACCUUUUUAUAUUUUAAUCAUUUUUGGGUAGAAAUCUUUAAAACUUGCUUUUAUUCAUCAGCAGAUCCAAAUUAACCAUUCCUGAUCAGCCCUGAUGAUUCUAUGCUGUAAUAUAUGAAACAUGCAGAAACUACUGAAAGACCCCUGAGUAUUUGCCCAUGUGCUGAAACAUAAUGACGGUCCUUUCAUUUCUCCUGUGGAAAGCGGGGACAGU